rnacentral:rRNA from 1 species
ACGGGAGGCAGCAGUGAGGAAUAUUGGUCAAUGGGCGGAAGCCUGAACCAGCCAAGUCGCGUGAAGGAUGAAGGUAUUAUGUAUUGUAAACUUCUUUAGACGCAGAGAAAUAAGGCGCUCGAGAGCGCUGAUGCUAGUAUGCGUAGAAUAAGGAUCGGCUAACUCCGUGCCAGCAGCCGCGGUAAUACGGAGGAUCCGAGCGUUAUCCGGAUUUAUUGGGUUUAAAGGGAGCGUAGGCGGGAUGUCAAGUCAGCUGUGAAAUGUAGUCGCUCAACGUCUGCACUGCAGUUGAAACUGGUGUUCUUGAGUGCGUAAGAGGCAGGUGGAAUUCGUCGUGUAGCGGUGAAAUGCUUAGAUAUGACGAAGAACUCCGAUUGCGAAGGCAGCCUGCUGGGCCGCGACUGACGCUGAAGCUCGAAGGUGCGGGUAUCAAACAGGAUUAGAUACCCUGGUA